rnacentral:rRNA from 1 species
AUUGAACGCUGGCGGCAGGCCUAACACAUGCAAGUCGAACGAGUGGCGGAAUGGUGAGUAAUGUCUUGGAAACUGCCUGAUGGAGGGGGCACACUAAUGGAAACGGUAGCUAAUGCCGCAUACCCUCGUCUGUGCCCAGCUGGGAUUAGCUAGUAGGUGGGGUAAAGGCUCACCUAGGCGACGAUCCCUAGCUGGUCUGAGAGGCUGACCAGCUACACUGGAACUGAGACACGGUCCAGACUCCGACGGGAUGCAGCAGUGGGGAAUAUUGCACAAUGGGCGCAAGCCUGAUACAGCCAUGCCGCGUGUAGGAAGAAGGCCUUCGGGUUGUAAAGUACUGUCAGCGGGGAGGCGGUACCCGAAGAAGAAGCACCGGCUAACUCCGUGCCAGCAGCCGCGGUAAUUC